ensembl:lncRNA
AUCAGCGUUUUCCAGAGCAAAAACCAGAGCUGCUUUGAAGUUACUCACGUGUCCCUUAACACAGAAGACCUGGAAGACUUUCAUGUACACGUUGGAAGUCAAGUGGGGCAUAAAUUGUAUUAAAAUUUCAAUUUAUUCUCUCAGGCCUUUUGAUGAUACAUCACCAGGUCAUGCUGUUGCUUGGUAUUUUGUUCAUUGAAGACCAGUUCAGUGUUUAAUCUCCAGGACAUACCUAUUUAACACUGGUUUCAUCCUGUAGCUGCUUGGAGAGAGACUCCUUCCCAUAAGCCAGAGCUCUCUCACAUCCUGUGCUAAUGUUGAACAGAUUUGAGCAAGGAUAUAGACACAUGAUUUCCAGCCAGCCAGCCACAGUAAAAAGAAAUCAGAUCAGACAGCGUAAAUCAGCAGCAGUUUGAGAUUACACCCCUGUCCUGUCAACCUGAAGGAGAAGAGAGGAAGCCCAUCAGCACAUGGGGAAGAUUUCUGUCUUCAGAUUCUCCUCUCCACCCCUGGACAGCUUCUCUAGAAUGAAAUACUCUGGGAUUCACAGGAAAGAGCCAGUAAGGACCAAAAUGGUGUGUCAUUCCCUUAAAAAGGAAGAAGAAAAAAAAACUGUGAAAAAAACAGGUCACAAGAAUCAAGAUAGAAAAGCUGUUUUCCACAGAAUUCCACAGAGCAGUAUCACCCCUUCUUCAGGGUCAGAAGAUUGGAAAGCUUUCCUUGAGCAGAGCUGUCGUGGAUGCGAAUGGAGGAGCACAGACAAAUCACAUGUUCUUCUGUUGGACAGGUCAGACCUACCAGGUCUGAAGAUGCAAGAACCAAGGCAUAGCUUAGAGUAGCCCUAAAGCUUCUUUAAGUUGUGCUUGGGAAACAGUUGUCUCUACGUGGCUGUUGGGGUGGAGGGAACAUAAGCAUGUUCAGUUCACACCAUCUCUUCUGUAAUUACCUGAGGCAUGCUAUUGUCACACACAAUCAAUCAUCUGACUUCUUAAGUAUCAUUCUUACUUUAAUAAAAUUUCAAUGUAACCCUCAUAUGUCUUUUUGUGUCUGAGUACACUGCAAUAUGUAGAUUUGUUGGCAGAGUGAUACAGUUCAUAAAGUAUAAAACUAACAUGACAAAGAGCAGAGAUUCAGUCUCUUUUCUGCUGUUAAUCAGAUAUGCAAUAUUAUUUGUACUUCUGUUGUCUUAGAAGCUGUGUCCUGGAUUUACAGUCCCCAGUGCUGUGUGCUCUCCAGAGCCUACCCACGUGCACAGCUGUGCUGAGGGAUCAACACUGAUGGCAGGAACUGAUAGCACUGCCCUAAUGGAGUCUGUGACCUGCUGCUGUGUGCUGACAGGCGCUUGAGCAACCUACAGGAAUUUUUCAGUGGGUUACGUGGCCAAAUGAAGUGUUUUGGUAUGGAUUUCCAUAGUUUAAAGGAAUGACACUAUACAGGAAAGCAUGUGCUGGCAACUUGACAAAGGAAAGCUGUCUCAAGGUGUCUGUUACCUAUUGAAUGAUUUUUCCAGAGGAAGAUUAAAAUCAAAGAAUCAGGAGGGGUGGAGUUUGAGAGUUGCAGGAAGUUCAUACAUAAAUAGUUUAUCUAUGAUUCCAGUGUUCUCUGUUGUAAUAAAAC